rnacentral:rRNA from 1 species
GAACGUCUCAGUUCGGAUUGUAGUCUGCAACUCGACUACAUGAAGCUGGAAUCGCUAGUAAUCGCGAAUCAGAAUGUCGCGGUGAAUACGUUCCCGGGUCUUGUACACACCGCCCGUCACACCAUGGGAGUUGGGAAUGCCCGAAGCCGGUGACCUAACCGAAAGGGAGGAGCCGUCGAAGGCAGGCUUGAUAACUGGGGUGAAGUCGUAACAAGGUAAC